AUUGAACGCUGGCGGCAGGCCUAACACAUGCAAGUCGAGCGAGCGGCGGACGGGUGAGUAAUGUAUUGGGAUCUGCCUGAUGGCGGGGGAUACCUACUGGCAACUGUAGCUAAUACCGCAUACCUUCAGCUGAACCCAUAUUGGAUUAGCUUGUAGGUGAGGUAACGGCUCACCUAGGCGACGAUGCCUAGCUGGUCUGAGAGGAGUAUCAGCCACACUGGGACUGAGACACGGCACAGACUCCUACGGGAGGCAGCAGUGGGGAAUAUUGCACAAUGGGAGCAAGCCUGAUGUAGCCAUGCCGCGUGUAUGAAGAAGGCCUGAGGGUUGUAAAGUACUUUCAGCGGGGAGGCGUUACCCGCAGAAGAAGCACCGGCUAACUCCGUGCCAGCAGCCGCGGUAAUUC
rnacentral:rRNA from 1 species